UUCCAGUUGUGAGUGCUUAGGACCCACACCCCUGGUGGGGUGGUCCUUUGCUUCUCACAGCCUGGGGCUGCAGAGCCUUGUUAAGCCUCGUUAGGGUCCUGGUUGAGUUGAAUUUGGAGGGUAGUGGAGAUUUAACGUUCUUCUAAGGUGCUCCUUGCAGACUCUAAGGGUAGCUGUAGACUUCGUGAGAACUUUGCCAGGGCCAGUCCUUUCCAGAAUCACAGCUUGCUUACAAGACUUGUUGCCAUGUGUCUCACCCUGCCAUUUCAGAAAAAUGUUCGUUGGUGGCCUGAGCUGGGAUACUAGCAAAAAAGAUUUAAAAGACUAUUUUACUAAAUUUGGAGAGGUCGUUGACUGUACAAUAAAAAUGGAUCCCAACACUGGACGGUCAAGAGGGUUUGGGUUUAUCCUGUUCAAAGAUGCAGCCAGUGUGGAGAAGGUCCUAGACCAGAAGGAGCACAGGCUGGAUGGCCGUGUCAUUGACCCUAAAAAGGCCAUGGCUAUGAAGAAGGACCCGGUGAAGAAAAUCUUCGUUGGGGGUCUGAAUCCUGAAGCCACUGAGGAAAAGAUCAGG
rnacentral:sRNA from 1 species